CACACACACACAUAUAUAUAUAUAUAUAAAUAUAUUAAAAAAAUUAAGAAUUUAAAAUUCUUAGAAAGAAGGGAGUGAAAUAAUGCAUGUAUUGUUAGCUACUAUACUGUUAUGCUAAAACACAGAUUCAUUAUUGCUAAAAUGCAGAAAUGAUUUUUUUCUAUUCUCUCACACAUACAACCUUUCCAAAAACGUUACUCCAUAUUGUCUGAGAAAAAUAGUCUUUAUGUAAAUGGGCACAAAAUGUGCUCAAGAGCCUAAUAUAGAUGCUAGAAACAUUUGAUAUGAGAGACUGUGUGUGUACUGAAAAGAGCGAUGUUUUUUAUAUAUAUAUAUAUAUAUAUAUAUAUAUAUAUAUAUAUAGCUUUGAUUUCAUGUGUAGUUCUUUUGAGAGAUUGUAGCAUUUGUUUUGGCACAGUAAUGCAUUACUACAGUGUCGACUACAAUUUCUGUACAAUCAGUAUUAGGUUUCUUUUGUUUUCACCACAGUUACCUCUGUAGCAGCCGGUUUCAAUGCUGUUUUUGAUAGUUUUGGGUAUUAAAAUGUAUUUCUGAAGCUUUCUAGAGGAUACCUUUUCAUUUGUAACGAUUCUAUGAAACCUGUAAAUUGCAUUUUGUACACAGGGGGGCGCUGUAUAUCUUCUAUGUAGAAUGCCAUGUUAAAUUUGAAUUCUGGGCAUAGGAAUACAGUACUCUUUAGACUCUUGAAACAACAAACCUGUUUUUGUCUUUUGCAGUGUUAAGAAAAUAAAUACAGAUAACGUUGUACAUAUUCGAGACGUGUGAAAUAUGUUGAAUAUCUGAUAUGUAUAGGCCUGGUAUAAUAUAAUUAGCAAAAUUGUACUUUAAAGCAAUCUAAUGCUAGAGUUUUUCAGCAAAGCUACCAUGUAUUUUACAUUAUAGAGGAAAUAUCCCAUUUAACAGGGGAUAAUGAUUACUGUGGCUCCCUUGAGCUGAUUAAUGGCAAAAGAGAAAAGAAAAUUGCAAUUAAAUAAACAAUUUUUUUUAUAAUGGUAAAAAUACACAUAGUAUACAAAUAACUACCUGCCAGCACAGCAUGUGUCCCUAUGUUCUUAAUCACAUCUUUUCUCAUGUGUAACCGAGAUGUCACUAUUAAAGAAAAGGAAAAAAAAAAAUCAGAUGUGAAGCUUUUUUUUUUUUUGAGAACACAAUCAACACUGUAAUAGAAACAAUGUCAUUGUUUAUGACUUUCGUAAACAGCAAAGAUAUUUUAAGUUGCAAUUCUGAGAUAUGAAAUGCAGUGUUUGUGUGUAUCAUUGCAUAUGUUGCCAAUCCUACAGUGUGAUGAGAGGUUUUUUGCUCUUGCAUGAAAAUGAGACAUUGCUCUCCUACCUCAUGUUGUGAUAAGAUGUUUUCUAAAGCAGAUGACACAUCUCAAACUGGUUAUCAUGAUCGAUAUUUACGAGUUAAAUACAUGUACAUGCUUUUAGCUAAUACCUCAGUUGUAUCUAGUGUUUUAUUGUUUAUUUCCCCUAUUUCAGACAUUGCCUAUACAAAAUAUAUU